rnacentral:rRNA from 1 species
CAAAGGUAUUGAAAUAAGACUUUAAUUGAGUGCUAAGAGAAUGGUUUAACAAAAAAGCUCUUUUUUAAGUUUAAAAAUUGAAUUUAUUUUUGUAUGUGAAGAAACAACAAUAAAAAUUAAAGACAAGAAGACCCUAAGAAUUUUAUUUUUAUCUUUUAAAGAUUUAAAAGAUAAAAUUUUAAUUGGGGCGAUUAAUAAAAAUUAAAAACUUUAUUUUUUUUAAAAAAGAACCAUUAAUAAUGGGUGUAUGAAAAAAAUACUCUAGGGAUAACAGCGUAAUAAUUUUUGAUAGUUCCUAUAGACAAAAUAGUUUGCGACCUCGAUGUUGGAUUAGGAUACUAAUUUAAUGAAGAAGUUAAAUAGAAGUUUGUUCAACUUUUAAUCUCCUACUUGAUCUGAGUUCAGACCGG